rnacentral:rRNA from 1 species
GAUGAACGCUGGCGGCGUGCCUAAUACAUGCAAGUCGAGCGAACAGACGAGGAGCUUGCUCCUCUGACGUUAGCGGCGGACGGGUGAGUAACACGUGGAUAACCUACCUAUAAGACUGGGAUAACUUCGGGAAACCGGAGCUAAUACCGGAUAAUAUAUUGAACCGCAUGGUUCAAUAGUGAAAGACGGUUUUGCUGUCACUUAUAGAUGGAUCCGCGCCGCAUUAGCUAGUUGGUAAGGUAACGGCUUACCAAGGCAACGAUGCGUAGCCGACCUGAGAGGGUGAUCGGCCACACUGGAACUGAGACACGGUCCAGACUCCUACGGGAGGCAGCAGUAGGGAAUCUUCCGCAAUGGGCGAAAGCUUGACGGAGCAACGCCGCGUGAGUGAUGAAGGUCUUCGGAUCGUAAAACUCUGUUAUUAGGGAAGAACAAAUGUGUAAGUAACUAUGCACGUCAUGACGGUACCUAAUCAGAAAGCCACGGCUAACUACGUG